AGUUUUCACGAUGAGGAUAUAAAAGCUCCCUCUUCUGAAGUUGAGUUGAGGAACUUCGCUGGCAGAAUCGAACCAUAAAAAUUUAGCCAUCACUGAGUGA